rnacentral:rRNA from 1 species
GGGUCAGUAGGUUGGUCGUGCCACCGGUACGUACUGGUCUCACUGAUUCCUCCUUCCUGAAGAACCGUAAUGCCAUUAAUUUGGUGUUGCAGGGAAACAGGACUGUUACUUUGAAAAAAUUAGAGUGUUUAAAGCAAGCUAACGCUUGAAUACAUUAGCAUGGAGUAAUGAAAUAGGACGAUCGAUCCUAUUUUGUUGGUUUCUAGGAUUGACGUA